rnacentral:rRNA from 1 species
GAUGAACGCUAGCUAUAGGCUUAACACAUGCAAGUCGAGGGGAAACGGCAUAGAAAGCUUGCUUUUUAUGGACGUCGACCGGCGCACGGGUGAGUAUCGCGUAUCCAACCUGCCCUUUACUUGGAUAACCCAUUGAAAGACGGACUAAUACCCAAUAUAAUCCUUUGAUGGCAUCUGACGAGGAUGAAAGAUUUAUCGGUAUUGGAUGGGGAUGCGUCUGAUUAGCUUGUUGGUGAGGUAACGGCUCACCAAGGCUUCGAUCAGUAGGGGUUCUGAGAGGAAGGUCCCCCACAUUGGAACUGAGACACGGUCCAAACUCCUACGGGAGGCAGCAGUGAGGAAUAUAGGUCAAUGGACGAGAGUCUGAACCAGCCAAGUAGCGUGCAGGAUGACGGCCCUAUGGGUUGUAAACUGCUUUUGUUGGGGAAUAACUGACAUUACGUGUAAUGUUUUGCAUGUACCCUUCGAAUAAGGACCGGCUAAUUCC